UACGGGGGGAGCAAGCGUUGUUCGGAUUUACUGGGCGUAAAGGGCGCGUAGGCGGCCCCCGCAAGUCAGUUGUGAAAUCUCUGGGCUUAACCCAGAAAGGUCAACUGAUACUGCGGGGCUAGAGUGCAGAAGGGGCAACUGGAAUUCUCGGUGUAGCGGUGAAAUGCGUAGAUAUCGAGAGGAACACCUGCGGCGAAGGCGGGUUGCUGGGCUGACACUGACGCUGAAGCGCGAAAGCUAGGGGAGCGAACGGG
rnacentral:rRNA from 1 species